rnacentral:rRNA from 1 species
CAAUAGCGUAUAUUAAAGUUGUUGCAGUUAAAAAGCUCGUAGUUGGAUUUCUGGUGGGAGCGAUCGGUCUGGCGCUUAGCGCGAGUACUUGCAUCGUCUCCGGCCAUCCUUGGGGAGAGUCUGUCUGGCAUUAAGUUGUCGGGCAGAGGAUCCUCAUCGUUUACUGUGAAAAAAUUAGAGUGUUCAAAGCAGGCUUAUGCCGUUGAAUAUAUUAGCAUGGAAUAAUAAGAUAGGACUUUGGUACUAUUUUGUUGGUUUGCGCACCAAAGUAAUGAUUAAUAGGGACAGUUGGGGGUAUUCGUAUUCCGUUGUCAGAGGUGAGAUUCUUGGAUUUACGGAAGACGAACUACUGCGAAAGCAUUUACCAAGGAUGUUUUCAUUAA